AACCAGACUCCUACGGGAGGCAGCAGUGAGGAAUAUUGGUCAAUGGCCGGAAGGCUGAACCAGCCAAGCCGCGUGAAGGACGAAGGUGCCAAGCAUUGUAAACUUCUUUUGUCAAGGGACAAAAUCAGGCUCGAGAGCCUGACCGAGGGUACUUGAAGAAAAAGCAUCGGCUAACUCCGUGCCAGCAGCCGCGGUAAUACGGAGGAUGCGAGCGUUAUCCGGAUUUAUUGGGUUUAAAGGGUGCGUAGGCGGAUUGUUAGGUAGGGGUUAAAGGCCGGGGGCCCACCCCCGGCGAGCCGUUGAAACUGGCUGUCUUGAGAUGUCGAGAGGUAUGCGGAAUGCGCAGUGUAGCGGUGAAAUGCUUAGAUAUUGCGCAGAACUCCGAUUGCGAAGGCAGCUUACUAAACUAUAACUGACACUGAAGCACGAAAGCGUGGGGAUCAAACAGGAUUAGAUACCCCAGUAC
rnacentral:rRNA from 1 species